CCCUUAGAUGUCCUGGGCUGCACGCGCGCUACACUGAUGUGUCCAGUAAGCACCUAACCUCUUCCGAAAGGAACGGGUAACCUUUGCAAAGCACAUCGUGAUGGGGAUAGAUUAUUGCAAUUAUUAGUCUUGAACGAGGAAUUCCUAGUAAGCACAAGUCAUCAGCUUGUGUUGAUUACGUCCCUGCCCUUUGUACACACCGCCCGUCGCUCCUACCGAUUGAAUGGUUUAGUGAGAAUUUUGGACUGGAACUCCCUUGCUCAGCAAUGGGCGAGGGGGAGUCCGGGAAGCUAUUCUAACUGUAUCAUUUAGAGGAAGUAAAAGUCGUAACA
rnacentral:rRNA from 1 species